rnacentral:rRNA from 1 species
GCGUAAGGGCUCGCAGGCGGUUUCUUAAGUCUGAUGUGAAAGCCCCCGGCUCUACCGGGGAGGGUCAUUGGAAACUGGGAAACUUGAGUGCACAAGAGGAGAGUGGAAUUCCACGUGUAGCGGUGAAAUGCGUAGAGAUGUGGAGGAACACCAGUGGCGAAGGCGACUCUCUGGUCUGUAACUGACGCUGAGGAGCGAAAGCGUGGGGAGCGAACAGGAUUAGAUACCCUGGUAGUCCACGCCGUAAACGAUGAGUGCUAAGUGUUAGGGGGUUUCCGCCCCUUAGUGCUGCAGCUAACGCAUUAAGCACUCCGCCUGGGGAGUACGGUCGCAAGACUGAAACUCAAAGGAAUUGACGGGGGCCCGCACAAGCGGUGGAGCAUGUGGUUUAAUUCGAAGCAACGCGAAGAACCUUACCAGGUCUUGACAUCCUCUGACAACCCUAGAGAUAGGGCUUUCCCUUCGGGGACAGAGUGACAGGUGGUGCAUGGUUGUCGUCAGCUCGUGUCGUGAGAUGUUGGGUUAAGUCCCGCAACGAGCGCAACCCUUGAUCUUAGUUGCCAGCAUUCAGUUGGGCACUCU